rnacentral:rRNA from 1 species
CCUACGGGGGGCAGCAGUGGGGAAUAUUGCACAAUGGGGGAAACCCUGAUGCAGCGACGCCGCGUGAGUGAAGAAGGAUUUCGGGAUGUAAAGCUCUGUCAGCAGGGAAGAAAAUGACGGUACCUGAGUAAGAAGCCCCGGCUAACUACGUGCCAGCAGCCGCGGUAAUACGUAGGGGGCAAGCGUUAUCCGGAUUUACUGGGGGUAAAGGGAGCGUAGACGGCAGCACAAGGCUGGAGUGAAAUGCCGGGGCUUAACCCCGGUACGGCUUUGGAAACUGUGCAGCUAGAGUGCAGGAGAGGUAAGUGGAAUUCCUAGUGUAGCGGUGAAAUGCGUAGAUAUUAGGAGGAACACCAGUGGCGAAGGCGGCUUACUGGACUGUAACUGACGUUGAGGCUCGAAAGCGUGGGGAGCAAACAGGAUUAGAUACCCGAGUAGUC